GAUGAACGCUAGCGGCAGGCUUAAUACAUGCAAGUCGAACGGUAAGUAGUGUAGCAAUACAUUACCAAGAGUGACGUACGGGUGCGUAACACGUAUGCAACCUACCUUGUACAGGAGUAUAGCUCGGGGAAACUCGAAUUAACCCUCCAUAAGAUCGUGGUGUGGCAUCACACAGCGAUAAAAACUCAGGUGGUACAAGCUGGGCAUGCGUCUGAUAGUUAGUUGGCGGGGUAACGGCCCACCAAGACGAUGAUCAGUAGGGGAACUGAGAGGUUGAUCCCCCACACUGGCACUGAGAUACGGGCC
rnacentral:rRNA from 1 species